rnacentral:tRNA from 1 species
GCUCCUGUGGCGCAAUCGGUCAGCGCGCGGUACUUAUAAUGCCGAGGUUGUGAGUUCGAGCCUCACCUGGAGCA